GCCAUCCAUAUCAUUUCCUAGGCAGGAAGCACAUCAUUUUAAGUGGCAUACUGUCGCCCCUCAUGUCAGAUAGACUUUGGGUGUUGAGCCAAAAAGGUCUUAUCUGCUAUUUUAGCAGCAACUCAUCUUUUCUAUGCCAAACUGCUUUUAAUGAGGGGACUGUGGUUAAUAUGCGCUUUCCCUCCUUUCUUUAGUAUUUAUAAAGCCAAGAACCCUGUAAAAGUUUGCUUUUGUGAGCACACAUUGGGAUACAUAUUUUGAUGAGGAAAUUGAGGCUCAACAAAGGUAAAUCAUUGGCUGAAGAAUAGGAAGAUGAAAAGAAAAGAAUUAUGUUUUUCUGAUGCCAUCAUGCUUCCAGAACAAAUUCUAUUUACCUCUCUGAAGAAGAGGCUACUUCAUAUAAAGCUAAUCCAAGAAGGUGACAAGACUCGAUACUUAAUUCAAAAAUGGAUUCGACCAAGAAGAAACUUAAACUGUUCUGUGCAUCUCUUAUUUAUUCAAAAAUGAAGGCUUCCCUUUCAAUCCAAUUGCUUGGUAUUUGGAAUUGAAGGAGCCAUGAGAAAUUUCAGUGAAGCAGACUGGUUUUUUGUUUGUUUGUUUGUUUUGCAGUACGCGGGCCUCUCACUGUUGUGGCCUCUCUCGUUGCGGAGCACAGGCUCCGGAUG